GCAGGGGGUCUCGUGCUCUGGAGAAAAGGCAGCGGCUGGAGAUACUCCAGGAAUGCCAGUCUGAGUAGGCCUAUGUUGCUGCAGAGGAAAGAGAUGGCUUCACUGCUGACGGGGUCCCAUCAAUUGAUGUGUCAAGAAGAAGUUGCAGAGCCUUGGUCAAACCAGAGGUUGCCAGGAUGUCAAACCCUGGGUGGGAAGUAUAAUAAACCAUCUGUACUGGGCUGUGGUCUCGACGCCUCCUGAAAAUGUUCAACUUGUGGUGGACAAAUGGACAUCAGUUAUGGAUCACAUCCACAACAGGCAUACCGGAUUCGAGGGACUGUUCUCUUAUUGUGCACACAGAGUCUUGGAAGGCAGGGAACAGCCUGUGUCACUUUUCAUACAAAGGGAUGGAGAGCAGGCUAUGCUGAAGAGCUGAUGCGGAUGGUGGAGGCCAUGUGUCGAGUUGAGGACUACAGCUGUGAUGACUUUGACAUUCCAGACCUAUCCCCUGUUCCAGAGCCACUGAGUGCAUCAUGUGAAAAGCCGGAUAAGAGGGCAGCAGUCAGUACACACACACACAACACGCUUUAGCGCCACAAACAACCCUUCAAUAUAGACAUUACCAAAAGUUUGAUGCCGGUAAUUCCAAAACCACAGUACAGGGUGUGUUGGAAGGACACUUUUUUCUCUCUUUUUUUCACACUUAUGCAUACAAAUGGUUCCAACUCAGGUGACUUAUCUGAGUAAAAAGUAGACCAAUGUACUUGUCGUAUGUUCAGCUGAUUCUCCACUGGUUGGAUUGAGUUUGCGGUGAUAGUAUGUGUAGCUCUGCUCCAGCAGGGGGCACCAAAGCUACACACUCACCAUCUGUUGUGAACCAGGCCAGGUCCUCGUUAGGUUUUUAGUGUUUUUUUUAGUAAUGACAGUCUCACUGUACAUAAGGUACAAUGGCAUACAUGGUGUUACAGUUAUGUAUUAUGUGCUACUGUUGUAAUUACACCACAAAUGUACUCAUACUUUUGUUUAAAAUUGGACAGAGCUGAACUGCAUGUAAUAAACACAUUUAUUUUCAUA